rnacentral:rRNA from 1 species
GAUGAACGCUGGCGGCGUGCCUAACACAUGCAAGUCGAGCGAACAGACGUGUUUCUUGUUCCUCUGAGGUUAGCGGCGGGCGGGUGAGUAACACGGGGAUAACCAACCUAUAUGACUGGGAUAGCUUCUAGAAACCGGACCGAAGACCAGAAGAUAAAAUGAACCGCAGGGUGGAAUCGCGUAAGACUGUUUUGCUGUUACGGAAAUAUCUUACCGAGGCGCUGUUCCUAAUUGGGAAGGUAAGGGUUUACCAAGGCAACGGUGCGUAGCCGACCCGAGAGAGUGAUCGGACACACUGGAACUGAGAGAUGGUCCAGACUGCUACGGGAGGACGCAGCAGGGACUCUCCCGCAAUAGGCGAAAGCCUGACGGAGCAACGCGGCGUGAGUGAUGAAGGUAUUCGGAUCUUAAAACUCUGUUAUUAGGGAUGAACAACUGUGUAAGUAACUAUGCACGUAUUGACGGUACCUAAUCAGAAAGCCACGGCUAACUCCGUG